UACAGAGACUGCAAGCGUUAUUCGGAUUCACUGGGCGUAAAGCGCACGUAGGCGGCUUCUUAAGUCAGGGGUGAAAUCCUGGAGCUCAACUCCAGAACUGCCUUUGAUACUGAGGAGCUUGAGUCCGGGAGAGGUGAGUGGAACUGCGAGUGUAGAGGUGAAAUUCGUAGAUAUUCGCAAGAACACCAGUGGCGAAGGCGGCUCACUGGCCCGGUACUGACGCUGAGGUGCGAAAGCGUGGGGAGCAAACAGG
rnacentral:rRNA from 1 species